UACGGGGGGGGCAAGCGUUGUUCGGAAUUACUGGGCGUAAAGGGCGCGUAGGCGGGCGGGCAAGUCUCUCGUGAAAGCCCACGGCUCAACCGUGGAAUUGCGGGAGAUACUGCUCGUCUUGAGUCCGGGAGAGGAGGGUGGAAUUCCCAGUGUAGCGGUGAAAUGCGUAGAUAUUGGGAGGAACACCGGUGGCGAAGGCGGCUCUCUGGACCGGUACUGACGCUGAGGCGCGAAAGCUAGGGGAGCAAACGGGAUUAGAUACCCCCGUAGUCC
rnacentral:rRNA from 1 species